GCUCAUAUAUGGACCUGUACUAAAUUUCGGUGUGGAGAGAAGAACCGACCAGAAUAUCGCUGUUCCUGUUCAGAUGACUGUGUGAAAAAUAAUAAUUGCUGUGCCAAUUAUUAUGCAGUUUGUGAAGGGAAGACAAGCUGGCUUGAAGAUAAAUGUGAGGAGUUAAAUGAACCUCAGUGUCCAGAAGGGUAAGGCAAUUUGAUCUUCAUUUCACAUUGUUCUAAAAGUAAGCUACUUAAGGCUGCUUAUGCUUCUUCAGUGGAAAUAUAAACAUUUCCAUAGAAGAAUAAC